CGCCUUCUUUAGACAGCGAGUAUGGGAUUAGAUUUGUGCCAAUAGGAUCAAGAAAAACACUUUGGAGAGCAAACAAAUUUUAAGACAUUGAGAGAAAAAACAUUGGUUUCAAAAGAAAAACUUACGAUCUGAAUCAGAUUCUUAAAAUGAUCAAGAAAAACACUUUGACGGUCAAACAAAAAUUAAAAAAUUGACAAAACAAAAAUAUUGACUAAAGGAAAAAAAAACAUGUUUCAAAAGUAAAACUUACUUUCUGAAUCAACUUCUUAAAAUGAGUAACAAAGUAUGUUUCCUUUUUCUGUUUGCCUCUAUGUGUUUUUGUUAUCAAUUUCCUUAGUUUUGUUCUCGCUGCUCAGAGCUUUACUCUCAUUACCAGAUUUGCACUUACACUGUCUGGCUUUCUCCUUUGCAAUCCCUGAGUUUUUGGUUGCAAUUCUGACACAACCCUUUCGGGUGGGCGGGACUUCUGAGAAGUCCUCUCCCAUAGGACAGUGGUUUCUCUAGAGUGACAGUUCAGUGACUUGGAAGUGAUGUAGCCUCCAAGACAUUUUUUUUCUACCUGGUCAACAACAUGAAUUGUGAGCCUCAAACACGUUAUUUCUGCUGUCUGUGGUGUCUACUGAGGAUCUAAAGUGAGUAUUGGUAAUACAUUUUAUCUUUUCUUAGUUAAUCUGUAAGUUAAACCACUUUUUAAGUUGGUUUUAAGCAGACGUUAGCUCACUAGCUAGCUGCUAAGCAAGCCAUUGUGCUAGCCUCAGGACAAUGUUCUAUUGUUCCAGAGAGACGUAUUAAAAACUCAUCUUAACAUAUUCAUUACUGGUUUCAUGGAAUUAAUUAUUGCAGUUUAUGUUAAUAAGUUUGCUAAUUUUUCAGGAACCUGUGGAACAUCAGAGACUUUGCAGCUAUUAGAGCUAACCUGUGUACUGCUUACUUGCUACUGAAGAAGCAGCAGAAAGCUGAGCUAACAGGCUGUUUUGCAGUGAAACGAAUGGAUUUUAUGAUGUAACUCAGACUGAAUAAUUAUCUAAGUGAGUAUGUUUGAUAAUAAAUUUCUUUCCAGUAUACAGAUCUGACAUUUGUUUGUCAGAACAAGACAAAUCAGAUUCAAUGUGCUUUCUGUCACGUGUUCUAUAUUCUCCAUCAAAAGAAUAUUAUCCAAGGCAGAUAAUCAAUAAUGAGUUUAAUACAUGCUUUUAAUUAAUUUUUACAUAAAAUCUAUAUUUUUGUCUAAAAGCUAUUUUAGACUGGCUUUCUCAGUCCUAGCACCGUUACUCUGGAACCAGUUGCCACCCUCAGUUAGGCUGUCCCCCUCUCUGCUAGUCUUUAAGAAUCACCUAAAAACACACCUCCUCUGCUUGGCGUUUCCAGAACAUGUUUGAUUUUGGCCCUCUUUUAUGUUGAAUUUAUUUCAGUUUUCAUUGGUUCACUCAAUCCAUCCACUCAAUCCAAAUGUGUUUCACACAUUUGUCCUGUACCAGAGUGUUUCAUCUAUCUUGUAAUUUCCAUUUUGUAUUUUGUAAUUUGUAUUUUGUAAUUUGAAUUGCUUUUAUUGUUGAUUUAUUCAAUAUAUUUACCUACAACUGUACCAUGUUCAGCGCUUUGGGCUUCCUGACAGGGUUGCUGAAGGUGCUUUAUAAAUAAAGCUUGAUUGAUUGAUUUUUUAUUUAUUUGUUCUUUCUUUUUAGAUUGAAAACUACUGCAUUGCAUUACAAUGGAAGUGCUACACGGCCACAUGCAUCAACUGCAGCUGGUGAGCUAAGACACACCAUAGUGUACACAAAGUACACUGCAGACAAGGGAUGUAAGAAAAUAUCAAUAUGACAAUAUAUCGCGAUAUAUUUUCCCAGUGAUAUUGUAUCGAUAUUCUCAAACUGUGUCUCUAAAAUAUCGAUAUGGCAAUAUAUCGUGAUAUUUUUUCCUGAGAUAUUACAUCCAUUUUCAAAAGCUGUGUAUCUAGUUUUUGGAAGAAUUUACAUGCAAACAUUUUUGUAUUUUUUUUGUUUUUGGUGCACUUUAAAUGUCGACCGCUAGUCGGCAGCAGUGUGCAUUGGGUUUUGUUUCCACCAUUGAAAUUUAAAUCUCGCUAUUAUGGUUCAGAUAAAGCCGGGCGUACACUGUGCGACUUUUUCACUCGCAGCGUUCAGCUCCAGCUCACACUGUACGACUUCCUCGCAGGGCAGAUCUCACGAGUCAGGCGCUCACACUGUACGACCCAGUUCUCGGAUGCGACCUGACUGCUCACACUGUACGUCUGGUAGCAACAUGUCGGCCCUAAAAAUGUGCUAAAAAUAGCAGUUUUUACUCAACACGUCAGACGUUUUUGUCUUGUUUUGCCUGUUGUCCUUCGGGAGUGCUGCAGGAGGACACACAGGGAUUUAUGGGGGUUGGAUGAGGAAAACGAAAUAAAGAAAGUAAAUCUGUGUUUUGUGAUCAGUUUAAUUUGACAUGAACACGACAAACACGCUUUCUUGACAAUUCUCAAACGUGUAGAAACAAAAACGAACAGCGUGUGUUAUUAGGGAAAUAGCGAGCGAGCGGCGUUGAUGCAUGAUUGCGCAUGCGGCGUGAGCGGUUCUGAUACUUUUUGGGUCGCAGCUGCUCGCAGCGCCACUUCAACAGUGCGAUACCCUCACGAGGGACGAGCUAAAUAUUAAACACGCCAGAAGUCCGUGCGACCUCACGAUUGCUUAUCGGCAGCUGGUCACGUGGUGUUAAUCGCCUCUCGUAACCCCCUGUACACUACACGACCGCUCGGCGCAAAACUCGCCCCGAUGUCGUGGAUUCUCGCACGACUGGAAAAUCGGCUCAAAAAAGUGAAAAAGUCGCACAGUGUACACCCGGCUUAACUCAUGUUACAUAUGUUAAGUAUCAGUUUGGACUGUUUAUUGAAUAUUCCUACAAUAAAUUCAGUCAAAAAUACACAUCCCUACUGCAGACCAAUCCCACCUCAUGUAGUUCAUAUGCUGUAUAAUAAACCCACAGUGAUGGUUAUGGAUAAAUAUCUGUACUAAUGGUAAUCUUUUUCCAUUGUUUCCAGUUGACAAGCAUAUGGACCUAUUGUUCGAGUCCGUGGUGGUGGAUGCUCUAUCAUAUCAGGAGUCUGUGGUGGUGGAUGCUCUACCAUAUCAGGAGUCUGUGGUGGUGGAUGCUCUACCAUAUCAGGAGUCUGUGGUGGUGGAUGCUCUAUCAUAUCAGGAGUCUGUGGUGGUGGAUGCUCUACCAUAUCAGGAGUCUGUGGUGGUGGAUGCUCUACCAUAUCAGGAGUCUGUGGUGGUGGAUGCUCUACCAUAUCAGGAGUCUGACUAAGUACCUGUGCCUGAACCUCUCUGUGUCUAGUUCAAAAGACCUGCUGUAAGCAGGCACAGGUUAAGAUUUUAAAAGAACCUGUAAGGUGAGCAACACAACACAAUAUAAAUCUUUAUUAUUAUUGUACGCUGUACAGCUAGAAUAAACUUGCAUGCUCAGAAGCCACGUAUGAUUACAUCGCCUACAGGUUGCCUGAUGCUGAACUUCGGGCAGCUGCGUGUGACUGUACUCCCGAGGAACAACCGCCUGUUGGAGGAGUCGUUGUGUUGCUGUCAGGAGUUUGGGUCGGAGUCCUGGGUUUGUGUUCCCUUUAAUCUCUUCAUUAGCCUUGCUAGUCACCAUUGCAGAGCACCAUGGAGAGGCUUACCUGAAAACUCUUCUCAUGGGGCAGGCACAUCCUCACACACCUGUAACCCCAUCCUUCAAUAAAAGCUGGUAGCUGGUCACUCAAGAGUGUUUUAACCCAUAUCUAGCCCAUGACUCUGCCGUUUUUCAAACUUACGUUCUCAUGUUCUAUGCAGAUCUAUGGGAAUUCUUUCCUUGAAGCUCCUGAUCACACAACCAUACUGGCAGUCUGCUUACCCACUACCUUCUGCUCACCCGCUUGCAACUCAUGCUGUCAUUCUCCCAGACUUCUGGUUGUUGCUCCACCAUUCUGCUGUCUCCCGUCUGCUCUACAAUUUCAGACCGGCCUUCUGAUCUUUAAACACUAAAACCUGUGGCUCCAUCUCUGUGGCGUUUCUCAGUCUCU